GGGUUCACUAGGUAGCAAAUAUACUAAAUUUGGAACUAUAAAGACAAGAUUAGCAUGACCCUUGCACAAGAUGACAUACAAAUUAAUAAAACAUUCCAUACUUUU
ensembl:snRNA U6 U6 spliceosomal RNA